rnacentral:rRNA from 1 species
AAUUUUGGACCAUGGGGGAAACCCUGAUCCAGCCAUCCCGCGUGGAUGAUGAAGGCCCUCGGGUUGUAAAGUACUUUUGGCAGAGAAGAAAAGGUAUCUCCUAAUACGAGAUACUGCUGACGGUAUCUGCAGAAUAAGCACCGGCUAACUUCCUGCAGGCAGCCGCGGUAAUACGUAGGGUGCAAGGGUUAAUCGGAAUUCCUGGGCGGAAAGCGUGUGUAGGCGGGUCGGAAAGAAAGAUGUGAAAUCCCAGGGCUCAACCUUGGAACUGCAUUUUUAACUGCCGAGCUAGAGUAUGUCAGAGGGGGGUAGAAUUCCACGUGUAGCAGUGAAAUGCGUAGAUAUGUGGAGGAAUACCGAUGGCGAAGGCAGCCCCCUGGGAUAAUACUGACGCUCAGACACGAAAGCGUGGGGAGCAAACA